UACGUAGGGGGCUAGCGUUGUCCGGAAUCAUUGGGCGUAAAGCGCGUGUAGGCGGCCUUGUAAGUCCGUUCUGAAAGCCCGGGGCUCAACCCCGGGAGGCGGAUGGAUACUGCAAGGCUCGAGUCCGGAAGAGGCGAGUGGAAUUCCCGGUGUAGCGGUGAAAUGCGCAGAUAUCGGGAGGAACACCAGCGGCGAAGGCGGCGCUCUGGGCCGGUACUGACGCUGAGGAGCGAAAGCGUGGGGAUCAAACAGG
rnacentral:rRNA from 1 species